rnacentral:rRNA from 1 species
GGCUCAGGACGAACGCUGGCGGCGUGCUUAACACAUGCAAGUCGAACGAUGAUCCGGUGCUUGCACCGGGGAUUAGUGGCGAACGGGUGAGUAACACGUGAGUAACCUGCCCUUGACUCUGGGAUAAGCCUGGGAAACCGGGUCUAAUACCGGAUACGACCUUUCACCGCAUGGUGGUUGGUGGAAAGAUUUUUUGGUUUUGGAUGGACUCGCGGCCUAUCAGCUUGUUGGUGAGGUAAUGGCUCACCAAGGCGACGACGGGUAGCCGGCCUGAGAGGGUGACCGGCCACACUGGGACUGAGACACGGCCCAGACUCCUACGGGAGGCAGCAGUGGGGAAUAUUGCACAAUGGGCGAAAGCCUGAUGCAGCGACGCCGCGUGAGGGAUGACGGCCUUCGGGUUGUAAACCUCUUCAGC